rnacentral:rRNA from 1 species
GAUGAACGCUGGCGGCGUGCCUAAUACAUGCAAGUCGAGCGAACAGACGAGGAGCUUGCUCCUCUGACGUUAGCGGCGGACGGGUGAGUAACACGUGGAUAACCUACCUAUAAGACUGGGAUAACUUCGGGAAACCGGAGCUAAUACCGGAUAAUAUAUUGAACCGCAUGGUUCAAUAGUGAAAGACGGUUUUGCUGUCACUUAUAGAUGGAUCCGCGCCGCAUUAGCUAGUUGGUAAGGUAACGGCUUACCAAGGCAACGAUGCGUAGCCGACCUGAGAGGGUGCUCGGCCACACUGGAACUGAGACACGGUCCAGACUCCUACGGGAGGCAGCAGUAGGGAAUCUUCCGCAAUGGGCGAAAGCCUGACGGAGCAACGCCGCGUGAGUGAUGAAGGUCUUCGGAUCGUAAAACUCUGUUAUUAGGGAAGAACAAAUGUGUAAGCAACUAUGCACGUCUUGACGGUACCUAAUCAGAAAGCCACGGCUAACUACGU